CAUAUGUUCCCCUCCUUCCUUAUCUUGACCAAGACUUUAAAAUACUCCGAAAACUCAUCAAUUUCUUGCUAAUUCCGAAGCCUUGACCCCUUAGAUAUUCCUUGUAUUUUUGUUGCUCCUUGUGUUUGUAUCAUCCUCCACAUCUUGAAGGAAUUUGUCCUCAAAUUCAGAUCUUGCAAAAACCAAAGAGAGAGCAAAACAAACAC
rnacentral:lncRNA from 1 species